GAAAGGUUUUAUUUAUUUGAUACUUCUAUUAAUGUAAUUGAAAGGACUGUUUGUUUUGUUGUUUUGUUUAACAGGAAAUCCUUAUAAGUUAACUUACAUUGUAUAUUAGUGCUACUCUUGUAGAUUAUUGCUUCGUAUGGCAAAGUUGGUCCUCAAUUUUAUUAAAUACAAGAGGAGUUAGUAAUUUUACCCAUAAAAUAUAUGAAAUUAGCUGUCUUCAGUUUAUAGCUUUAACUGUCAUCCCUUCACAGGAAAGUUUAAGGGUAAAUCAUAGUGUAGACUACUAAUUUACAUAUUUAGAACUCAAUAAUAUCUCAAUAAGACUAUAUUAUCUACCAUAAUACUGUCUGAUCUGUAUUGUUUGCAGGUGGUACAAAACAUCUUGACUAAAAAUGAUUUGGCUCAUUCAUUUUCCAUUAAACUGUGACAAAAUAUAUAAAUAUAAUAUAGCAGUUUAACAAAGAUCAAUUUUGAUCAUUGAAAAGCUAAAUAUUUCCUUAACAAUAGAACCUGAUUAAAUUUGUUCAGCUGAUUUUUAGAGUUAUCUCCCUGUAGUGUUAUGUACCACCUUAAAGUUAGUUAUAAUUACCUUAAAGUUAGUUAUAAUUAGACCUAAUUCCUGGUGUUCUGCUACAUUUUAUGACUCUUGAUCUUGAUGUCUACACACCUGUCCUAAUGAUAUAUUAUCUUCAAUGACAAAGUGGCUUUUAACCUUGAGUAGUGAAUGUAUUAUACAGACUACCGGUAAACUCAGACAGAUUUUUCUGACCUAGAUCUUGUACAAAAUAUGAGAAAUUUCCCCUACUCUCCAAAACAAAUAUAUUCACUUAAAUAUGUAUCUUACAUGAUAUUUUUAAGAAAUCAUUGAAAUAGGUGUUAGAUUAGAAUGUUAAUAAUUGGUACUGGGACAAAACAACUUUAGCAUUGGGAAAAUCAAGGAAAAUGUCUAAUUUCUAAUAGAUGAUUUAUACUGAAUCAAAACUCUAUACAUUACUUUUUAAGUUGUUUAUUUUUACCUUGGAUUUGCAGGUUUAUUUUGAAUUUAUAUUGAUUGGUACAUCUGCUUGUGCAAAUUGUGACAGUUUAAUUGUUUGUUAGUUAUCAAUUUAUAUGAGUUUCAUAUUUAAGACCAUGAAAUCCUAUACUAUACUUAAGGAAAAACAUAUUUUCAUUGAUAUUAAGCCAUGUUUCAUAAUCCAAAUAACAAAAGUUCUUCUCUAACCACAAAUGAAAGGAUUUUCACAGUUUUCAAACUGUUUCUUCUGUUUCAUUUUGUAAUAGUGUAAAAACAAGUAGAUUUUAUUCAAAACUUUAGAAAAUUGUGUUCUAAUAAGUAAAACUACUUUAGGUAGUUGAAUAUUUUCAUGUUAAUUAAUUCUAAAAAUAUUGGCUGUUUUUAUUGUAUUUUUUAUUCUUUACAAACAAACCAGAUUUGCAUUCUAUAUAUAACCAGAUUGAAGUUGCUGUUUUUUUAUUUAAAGUUUUCUUGUCAUGUUUUAUUUUAUUUCAACCAGAC
rnacentral:lncRNA from 1 species